rnacentral:rRNA from 1 species
CCAUCUCAGUUCGGAUUGCAGGCUGCAACUCGCCUGCAUGAAGCUGGAAUUGCUAGUAAUCGCGGAUCAGCAAGCCGCGGUGAAUACGUUCCCGGGCCUUGUACACACCGCCCGUCAAGCCAUGGAAGCCGGGGAGUGCCUGAAGUGCGUGAGCGCAAGCAGCGCCCUAAGGUAAAACCGGUGACUGGGGCUAAGUCGUAACAAGGUAAC